rnacentral:tRNA from 1 species
GCCUCUUUAGCUCAGUGGUUAGAGCACUGGUCUAGUAAACCAGUGGUCGUGAGUUCUAUUCUCACAGGAGGUA